CAGUAGCCGCGGUAAUACGAAGGGGGCUAGCGUUGUUCGGAUUUACUGGGCGUAAAGGGCGCGUAGGCGGAUUUGUAAGUCAGGGGUGAAAUCCCGAGGCUCAACCUCGGAACUGCCUUUGAUACUGUGGAUCUUGAGUCCGGGAGAGGUGAGUGGAACUGCGAGUGUAGAGGUGAAAUUCGUAGAUAUUCGCAAGAACACCAGUGGCGAAGGCGGCUCACUGGCCCGGAACUGACGCUGAGGCGCGAAAGCGUGGGGAGCAAACAGGAUUAGAGACCCCUGUAGUCCCUGUCUCUUAUAC
rnacentral:rRNA from 1 species